rnacentral:rRNA from 1 species
UACAGAGGGGGCAAGCGUUGUUCGGAAUUACUGGGCGUAAAGCGCACGUAGGCGGCUUGGUAUGUCGGGUGUGAAAUCCCCGGGCUCAACCUGGGAACUGCAUCCGAAACUGCCUUGCUAGAGUAUGGGAGAGGGAAGUGGAAUUUCCGGUGUAGCGGUGAAAUGCGCAGAGAUCAGGAGGAACACCCGUAGCGAAGGCGGCACUCUGGGCCGAUACUGACACUGAGGAGCGAAAGCGUGGGGAGCGAACAGG